GGUAAGUCAACAAUUCAAAUCUGAGGAGUUCUAUACCUGUGGUAGAGGAGCAGUGCAACCAACUCAUUUGUAUCUGGAAUGGGUGAGAAUAUCACUGAAAAAUAUCUCACCUCCUUGGGCUCCCUCAGGAAAUCCCUGAACUAGGCAGUCUGGGCCAUAUGCUCACUGACCUGAGAAUACUCAAAAGGACAAGACUCAUUCACCUUGG